CAUCAGGAGCCGCAAUAAUCACAGACACAGAGUGAAGUACAGAAGGGAAAUGAACACCAGCUCUCCUGUUUUUUCCCCUCUUGCUUGUACAUCAAGUAUUUAGAUUGUUUGGACAUAAAACCCAUGCUGAAGGAAAGGAAAAACUGGAAAUGGGAUGAAACACACAGGAAUUUGUUCAGGGUAGAUUAUGCCAAAUUAACAUAGUGGCUUUUUCUUUUUCCUGUAAGAUAACUGACCUUUUCAGACAAGUGGUGGUCCCUCCCCUCCCCUCACAGGCUGUUACAGCAGUAGCUGUGGCUCAGGCCUUUGCUGACAUGUUACCUUCCCCCUCAGGUGCCAUGAAUGAGGCAGAAACUCCAGUCAGGAAGCAACAAGGAUAUAACAUCUACUUCUCCAGAACGCCCCAAGCCAGACCUCUAGACAUUAUUUCAACACGUGCUUCCAACAGAGACACAUCGUGCUGGCGGUACGUGCAUCCGCUUAUUCUGCUGAAAACCUUCCCCACACUGGAGGAUAACUAAGCUGGACUGUUGUAAGGCAUCUUCUUCCUGCAAUCACUUUAUCUGCCUAGGAUUUUGUCUAUGGAAAUCACCUCUUAUCUGAGAUAGCCAUACAGACAUCAAGUCUGCAAAUAGCAUUUAAGGACAUGUUUUUAUGGUAGCCACAUCCACCCACAAGAUGCUCCUGUAGUUUCUCAGCAACAGCACAAAUAGCGGCAUGACACUUUCCCAGGCAAUACAGGUGCUUCAUGGGAAGCACUCACACCUGAUGCUGGCACCUGAUGUAACUCUUGCUCUCUGCAUUGUAGAAUCGCUCAGGUUGGAAAAGACCUUAAAGAUCAUUGAGUCCAACCAUGACCUGACCAUACUACCCUAACUAACAACCCUUGGCUAAAUCAUGUCCCUGAGCACCACAUCCAAAUAGUUUUUAGACACAUCCAGGGAUGGUGACUCAACCACCUCCCUGGGCAGCCUAUGCCCUUGUUAAAACCCUUUCUGUAGAGAUGUUUUUCCUUUUACCCAACCUAAACUUACCCUGGCGCAACUUGAGGCCAUUUCCCCUCGUCCUGUCACCAGUGAGAAGAGACCAGCCCAAUCAUGAGUUGUUCUGGCCUCUUGUGGUGUGGCUUACGUGCAAGAGCUGACUGCAUUUCAGAAACCUGUUCAUCUACAGUGCCAGCACAGAGAUGCAGGACUUGCUUUGGAUUUGAACCAGCAUGGCUGAAGGACAGCAAGGCCUUGUACCACUUCAGUCUCUUCAUCCCUGUGUCCUAGAUACAAAGUCUUCUCUUGGUACUCUGCACUUGAGAAACAUCUAACAGAUGGGCUUUCCCGAUAUCUGCUCCAUGCCUUCUGCUCGAGUGGCACAAAAACAAAGUUCCAUCUCAACCUGCGUGUGGCAACUGGGGGAGGAUCCUGGAGGCUGGAGGAAAGCAAAUGCCACUCCUACCUUCAGUAAAGGUGAGGAGGAUCCAGAAACUGUGGGACAGUCAUCCUCACCUCAGUGCCCAGGAUGGUGAUG
rnacentral:lncRNA from 1 species